rnacentral:rRNA from 1 species
CAACGCUAGGUGGCAGUUUAUGCGGGGCACAGAUCCCAUAAAGAGUAGCUGGGUAUAUCCUAAUUCCGAAAAAUUUGGAGAAAAAAAUUAUAUAUUUUUUUUCUUUUGAGUCUUUAUUUAAUAUAUAAAUUUUAUAUAAAUUUAAUAUUUAGCCGAUUGCCUAUGGCGAUUGACCGAUUUUUAAGAUGAAUUUAUAUAUAAGAGGAUAAGAUAUAUUACUUAUCUCUAUAUUUAUUUAAUCACUAUCUUUUUAUUUAAAGUAAAAUUUAAUUUUAAAGCAAGUAAGAUUUUAACUAUAUCGAGGAUAGGUGUAAUAAAUAAAAUUCACAUUUUCUAAUCUUCUGCGGACUCGUUCAAU